UGAACGCUAGCGGCAGGCCUAACACAUGCAAGUCGAACGGUAACAUAGAUUGCUUGCAAUCUGAUGACGAGUGGCGCACGGGUGCGUAACGCGUAUGCAAUCUACCUUUUACAGGAGAAUAGCCCAGAGAAAUUUGGAAUAAUGCUCCAUAAUAUCAUUUAUCAGCAUUGGUUUAUGAUUAAAGCUCCGGCGGUAAAAGAUGAGCAUGCGUUCUAUUAGCUAGUAGGUGAGGUAACGGCUCACCUAGGCUACGAUAGAUAGGGGCCCUGAGAGGGGGAUCCCCCACACUGGUACUGAGACACGGACCAGACUCCUACGGGAGGCAGCAGUGAGGAAUAUUGGACAAUGGAGGAAACUCUGAUCCAGCCAUGCCGCGUGCAGGAUGACUGCCCUAUGGGUUGUAAACUGCUUUUAUAUAGGAAGAAACACUCCCACGUGUGGGGGCUUGACGGUACUAUAUGAAUAAGGAUCG
rnacentral:rRNA from 1 species